CCACUCUCGCUCGCUCGCCCGCUCGCGCCCUCACCUAGCCGGAAAGGUGGGAUAAGGGGGGGCCCCUCACAUGGGGCCCGAGCUCGGAGGCGGCCGGGCGGCGCGGAGUCCUCCUGGAUCGUGGCAAUGGGCAGACACAGAGCAGAAAGUGGCGGACUUGGGCGGCCACAGGUAACUUUCUCGCAAGGAGCUGAAUUCUUUCACUAAAGGGUACAAGCCCGAGGGACGAGCUGCGCGAUGAUUGGCUGGGGAGCUCCCUCAGGUGAGCUGCCAUUGGCAGAGGCGCGCUCAGGCAGGCAUCAACAUUUACAUUGUAAUUCAAUAGACGCUACUACUACAAAGGAGCUUUAUUCUUCCAGCUUAAUAUGGUUGCUGCGGGAACACUGCAGGAUGAAACUGACUUUUUUUGUGGUAAUGUUUCUCCUGGUUGGGAACAACGCAAAUUAGCAAAGGCGUAAUUUAUAACCGCUGCUACCAAAGAGUGAAGUAUUUGUGGAAGUUCUGACUGGAAUCUAGCUCGUACAUAUGGAUUGUGGAAAUAAAGGAGGACGUGGAAAGCUUGCCAUAUUUUAUUUCAAGUUAAUACUAAAGCUGCCAGACUUAAUACAACUUUCUUUUAAUCUUUAUGGAUCACAUAUUUUCUGAAAAUUACAUGAUAAAACAAGGUUUGGUUUGUUCCAUGUGUCCAUUUUCAACAAUAAAUUUCAAAAUUGUAUUUUUAAAAAACAAUAUAAACACACACUUUAAAGAAAUAAUAUAUUUUAAGACAAUGCAGGUACUAUUUUAAUAUAAUAUUUUAAGAUAAUGCAAUACCUAUCAUGUUCCUCUCCUUUUUAGAGGCAGCCAUAUUCUGCUUUUAUCUGUCUCUUCUGUCAUUUACCUCCCUAUUUCUAAAUAAUUUGUACUGCCAUCUCUUGAUUUGCCAAUAGAUGUUGUGCUCUGACUACCUGUUGCUUCAGAUUAGGAUUUAGCUCUUUCAUGCCAAGCAACUUCUCCUUCCAACACAGCACUUUCACAGUUUAGGAGCUAAGUAAGUGACUAUGCCAAUAGCAAUGACAACACAGCCAAUAGUGUACUAUUCUUGUUUUCUUCCUUAUAAAACCUUGUAUCUAUUUACUUAGUUUGUUAUGCCCCAUCCUGAUAUUUUUCUACAACUGAUCUAUCAAAUGACUAUCAUGUUUAUUUUCCAAAUGAUCAAACAAUCAAUUCCAAUUUUGCCCUGAA
rnacentral:lncRNA from 1 species